GAUGAACGCUAGCUACAGGCUUAACACAUGCAAGUCGAGGGGCAGCAUGGAGUUUGCUUGCAAACUCUGAUGGCGACCGGCGCACGGGUGAGUAACGCGUAUCCAACCUUCCCCGUAGUAGGGCAUAGCCCGGUAGAAAAUCGGAUUAAUACCCUAUGUUUUCCGAAGCGGGCAUCUAAUUCGGAGCAAAGGUUUACCGCUAGUGGGAGUGGGGAUGCGUCUGAUUAGGUAGUCGGCGGGGUAACGGCCCACCGAGCCAUCGAUCAGUAGCCGACCUGAGAGGGUGAUCGGCCACAUUGGAACUGAGACACGGUCCAAACUCC
rnacentral:rRNA from 1 species